UUUUUUUUUUUUUUUUUUUUUGGCUUCAUAGAGCCACACCUGGGGUAUAUGCAAGUUCCCAGACUAGGGGUUGAAUCGGAGCUGCAGAUGCCUACCUACACCACAGCCACAGCAACUCCAGGAUCCAAGCUGUGUCCAAAAUCUACACCACAGCUCACAGCAACACUGGAUCCUUAACCCACUGAGUGAGGCCAGGGAUUGAACCUGUACCCUCAUAGAUACCAGCUGGGUUUUUCACUGCUUACCCAUGAUGGGAAUGCCCAUUCAAUAAUUCUAUACACCUGCACCCGUUCAGGUCCUCCAAGACAGAUGGAGAAAUGCAAGCAGUUUUCUGGGAAAAUACCCACAAAGGAUGAAGGGAAAAGGAAGCAGAAGUGGGCAAGGAGGACAUGCAGACCUGGAAGCAGGUCUAACAGCUGAGAAAGGGAGAGAAGGAAAGAGCAUCCAGAGAGGAAGGGCCUCAACUUGGGGUUCGGCCCUGAGAAGGGUCUUGGAGAGGCUAAUGGGAGAGGGGAGGGAAGGCAAAACCUGUCCAUCAGAGAAGCCUGGCAUGGGGCUGGACAGACAGGAACUGACGGAGCAGCCAGGACAAGGCUGGCUGCAUCCCAGAUGGUCCAGCAGCAGAAGGCUUCCCUGACUUCUCUCUCAUGGCUGGUUCUAGAAGGGGGAGCUGCGUAGCACCUCCAUGGCUGCCACAGAGGUUUUCUGCCAAUACCCACGUUAUUUUCUACAUUAGAGAAAGUGACAUUUUUAAAGGGGGAUGUUUUCAUUUCUAAGGAACAAAGGUUUCUUCUCACCCAUACUAAAUGUAAACCAAAACAUUACAGCUAAGGAAUACGUACAAUUCUUUUUAUGAGCUAUAUGUUUUGCUUUUCACAAAUGUAAAGAACCUUGAUUUGAAAACCUGUGCCUAAAUUGAUUUUUUUAACUCAGUGUGAUAAUUUUCUGAAUUUGCUUGAGGAACUUAGAAUAGGAACAGUGUUGCUAAUACUUUUAUAUCAUUCCUUAAUUUCCAUGUAAUGAAACUGCAAUUACUCCAAAAUUCCCACUCUAGGAGAUUACCUUAAAUUAACAGGAUGAAGCAGUACCCUCAUAAGACCUGCCAGGUUUUUGGUUUUUUAAACAGCCAUGAUCAAGUCAUCACUUUUCCCCCUCUAUGGCCAAGAGUCAUAGACAGCAGACCGAGUUCACACGGCAUAGCAGUGGAAUUUCUAACAACCAGAACUACCAAAGAAUGCCCUUGAAUAUAACCAACCAAAUGCCCUUGGUCAUAACCAAGCAAACCUCUGGGUCUGGUGGCAGCUGCCUUAAAAAUGCCUUCUCAAGGAGUUCCAACUGUGGCACAGUGGGUUAAGAAUCCAAAUGCAGUGGCUUGAGUCGCUGCAGAAGCAUGGGUUCAAUCCAGCACAGUGUGUCAAAGGAUCUGGUGUUGCCACAGCUCUGUGGCUGGGGUUCAAUCCUUGGCCUAGGAAUUUCCAUAUGCCACAGUUAUGGCCAUUAAAACAACAACAACAACAACAACAACUACCUUCUUGGAAUUCCCAUCGUGGAUCAGCGGAAAUGAAUCUGACUAGGAUCCGUGAGGACAAAGGUUUGAUCCCUGGCCUCACUCAUGGGUUAAGGAUCUGGUGUUGCCGUGAGCUGUGGUGUAGGUCGCAGACGUGGCUUUGAUCUGGCAUUGCUGUGGCUGUGGUGUAAGCCAGGGGCUACAGCUCUGAUUAGACCCCUAGCCUGGGAACUUCCAUAUGCCUCAUGUGCAGCCCUAAAAACAAACAAACAAAUGAAAAACUCCAGGUGUUCUUAUCCUUUUAAAAACUCACCUGCUGCAUGAAGAGAGGUCAUUGAAGGACAUGUGUUAUCCAAAAUCUGAGCCAUCAAACAAUAGAAGGGACUAAGCCAGGAGGUGGUGAGUGUGGUGGGCACAGGAAUAGGCCCUCAAAUGCCCCCAUUCUAAUCCCCAGAAGCUGAGAAUGUGUGACUUUCUCCAGCAAGGAGGAAGUGAGGUGCCAAAUCGGCUGCCCUUAAAGAAAUUAUCCUGGGCUAUCUGACUGGACCCAAGUGUAAUCACAGAUGCCCUCCAACAGAGACAGAGAAAAGCAAGCAGAAGAUUUAGGAGUCAGAGGGACAGGAUGUGUGAGAAAGACUCAAAUGGCCAUUGCUGGCUCUGAAGAUAGAUUGGAGCCAAGGAAGGCAGGCAGCCUAGAGAAGCCGGAUGAGGUACGAAGACAAUCUCUCCUAGAACCUUCAGGAAUGCAGCUCUGCCAACACGUUGAUUUUCACCAGUGAGACCCAUUUUAGACUUGGAGUUACAAAUAAUGUAAGAUAAUAUAUUUGUGGUAUUUCAAGCUACUCAAUUUCUGGUAAUUUGUUAUAGCAGCAACAGAAACUUAAUGCAGUGAGCUCCCCAUUUUGGAAGGCAAUCAAGUGGAUGCUCAAUGGUCAAGUGUGAGGAGACCACAGAAGUGACCCCUCCAUGAGCGGGAAGUUUUAACAGAUGACUUAUUCAACUCCUUCCAACUUUAACUGUAAGUAAAUAUUUCCUCAUUUCUAGACAUGAGGUGACAGAGAGGUUUGAGGCAAGUCUUCAUAAAGUGACCAGAGUCUAGCCUAUUUCCUGGCUAUGAGUCACCACUCACUGUAACUGCUCUCUAUCUAUAAACGCCUUGCCAUCUAGAGGUGUUUCACUUGACAUCAUUUAUAAUGAUGCAAUAUGAGGUGAUAAUAUUAAACAGUUUCUUCUUGAAAGA
rnacentral:lncRNA from 1 species